rnacentral:rRNA from 1 species
GUUGUAUGGUUAAGUGACUAAGCGUACACGGUGGAUGCCUUGGCAGUCAGAGGCGAUGAAAGACGUAGUAACUUGCGAUAAGCCCAGAUUAGGUAGUAACAACCAUUUGAGUCUGGGAUUUCUGAAUGGGGAAACCCACGUGCAUAAGCACGUAUCCUUACCUGAAUACAUAGGGUAAGGAGGCGAACCGGGGGAACUGAAACAUCUAAGUACCCCGAGGAAAAGAAAUCAACCGAGAUUCCGAAAGUAGCGGCGAGCGAAAUUGGACUAGCCCUUAAGCUUUACACACGUUAGACGAACGGUCUGGAAAGUCCGACGAUACAGGGUGAUAGUCCCGUAGUUGACGACGUGUGUUCAGUGAAAUCGAGUAGGGCGGGACACGUGAUAUCCUGUCUGAAUAUGGGGGGACCAUCCUCCAAGGCUAAAUACUACUGACUGACCGAUAGUGAACCAGUACCGUGAGGGAAAGGCGAAAAGAACCCCUGUGAGGGGAGUGAAAUAGAACCUGAAACCGUGUACGUACAAGCAGUAGGAGCAGGCUUUGUCCUGUGACUGCGUACCUUUUGUAUAAUGGGUCAGCGACUUAUAUUCAGUGGCAAGGUUAACCAUCUAGGGGAGCCGUAGGGAAACCGAGUCUUAACUGGGCGUUCAGUCUCUGGAUAUAGACCCGAAACCAGGUGAUCUAGCCAUGGGCAGGUUGAAGGUUGAGUAACAUCAACUGGAGGACCGAACCGACUAAUGUUGAAAAAUUAGCGGAUGACUUGUGGCUAGGGGUGAAAGGCCAAUCAAACCUGGAGAUAGCUGGUUCUCCCCGAAAGCUAUUUAGGUAGCGCCUCGGACGAAUACUACUGGGGGUAGAGCACUGUUAAGGCUAGGGGGUCAUCCCGACUUACCAACCCUUUGCAAACUCCGAAUACCAGUAAGUACUAUCCGGGAGACACACGGCGGGUGCUAACGUCCGUCGUGGAGAGGGAAACAACCCAGACCGCCAGCUAAGGUCCCAAAUUACUACUAAGUGGGAAACGAUGUGGGAAGGCUCAGACAGCCAGGAUGUUGGCUUAGAAGCAGCCAUCAUUUAAAGAAAGCGUAAUAGCUCACUGGUCGAGUCGGCCUGCGCGGAAGAUGUAACGGGGCUAAGUAGUAAACC